rnacentral:rRNA from 1 species
AACGUAGGAUACAAACGUUAUCCGGAGUUACUGGGCGUAAAGGGCGUGUAGGUGGUUGCGUAAGUCUGGCGUGAAAUUUUUCGGCUUAACCGGGAAAGGUCGUCGGAUACUGCGUAGCUAGAGGACGGUAGAGGCGUGUGGAAUUCCGGGUGUAGUGGUGAAAUGCGUAGAGAUCCGGAGGAACACCAGUGGCGAAGGCGACACGCUGGGCCGUACCUGACACUGAUGCGCGACAGCAUGGGGAGCAAACAGG